UGACGGGGCAGCUCAUGACCAGAGAUCCCGGGAUUCCGUUUGACGCGGAUUGGAGUUUGAAAACGCGGAUUCGGCAGUUGGAGACGAAAAUUCAGAAAACUAUUUUAAACAAAACUAGAGAGAUCCUCGUUCAACAAACUCGCGUGCUCUCUCUGAAAUUGCGACGCCCAUUUUUCAAGUCGGAAGUAUGUUCUGCUCCCAACGCCAGUGAAAUAAAGAGAAGGUUACGCCUGCUGCUAUCGAGGCUAUCGAAUACUUCUGCAAGCAGAAAGUGGACGCAGACGACACGGUGACGUCAGUUGUCGUCUGCUCAUGUUCUGUAACUGCAAAAGAAUUGGUAUUCUGUUCAAGGUUCGCUUGUACGUACGCACAUAUUUUCUGUGGCGUUUUCAGCAAUGUGAACUCACAUUAUGUAGUACUCUAUUCAAAUGUGUGUUUCCCCUUCGUGAUUCGAUUCAACCAGAGCUGUGAAGCAAAACAUGUAUCCUUCCGAAAUUUACUCCAAAUCUGAUUGAUUUGCUUUGCUUU